rnacentral:rRNA from 1 species
GCGGAGCAGCCAUAGCGAUUACCAUUUGGGUUUUGUGAUUAGACGGUCCCAUCUGAACCCGGAAGUUAAGUCCGCCUGCGUUUCAUGUUGUACUGCGGUGCGCGAGCCCGCGGGAACCAUGAGACGCUGUCAGCC